rnacentral:rRNA from 1 species
CUACGGGUGGCACCAGUGGGGAAUAUUGCACAAUGGGCGCAAGCCUGAUGCAGCCAUGCCGCGUGUAUGAAGAAGGCCUUCGGGUUGUAAAGUACUUUCAGCGGGGAGGAAGGGAGUAAAGUUAAUACCUUUGCUCAUUGACGUUACCCGCAGAAGAAGCACCGGCUAACUCCGUGCCAGCAGCCGCGGUAAUACGGAGGGUGCAAGCGUUAAUCGGAAUUACUGGGCGUAAAGCGCACGCAGGCGGUUUGUUAAGUCAGAUGUGAAAUCCCCGGGCUCAACCUGGGAACUGCAUCUGAACUGGCAAGCUUGAGUCUCGUAGAGGGGGGUAGAAUUCCAGGUGUAGCGGUGAAAUGCGUAGAGAUCUGGAGGAAUACCGGUGGCGAAGGCGGCCCCCUGGACGAAGACUGACGCUCAGGUGCGAAAGCGUGGGGAGCAAACAGGAUUAGAUACCCGUGUAGUC